rnacentral:rRNA from 1 species
GUUGACCUCGGAUCAGGUAGGAAUACCCGCUGAACUUAAGCAUAUCAAUAAGCGGAGGAAAAGAAACCAACAGGGAUUGCCCCAGUAACGGCGAGUGAAGCGGCAACAGCUCAAAUUUGAAAUCUGGCCCCCGGGUCCGAGUUGUAAUUUGUAGAGGAUGCUUUUGGCGAGGUGCCUUCCGAGUUCCCUGGAACGGGACGCCAUAGAGGGUGAGAGCCCCGUCUGGUCGGACACCGAGCCUCUGUAAAGCUCCUUCGACGAGUCGAGUAGUUUGGGAAUGCUGCUCAAAAUGGGAGGUAUAUGUCUUCUAAAGCUAAAUAUUGGCCAGAGACCGAUAGCGCACAAGUAGAGUGAUCGAAAGAUGAAAAGCACUUUGAAAAGAGGGUUAAAAAGUACGUGAAAUUGUUGAAAGGGAAGCGCCUAUGACCAGACUUGGGCCCGGUGAAUCACCCAGCGUUCUCGCUGGUGCACUUCGCCGGGCACAGGCCAGCAUCAGUUUGGCGCGGGGGAGAAAGGCUUCGGGAAUGUGGCUCCCCCGGGAGUGUUAUAGCCCGUUGCGCAAUACCCUGCGCUGGACUGAGGUACGCGCAUUCGCAAGGAUGCUGGCGUAAUGGUCAUCAGCGACCCGUCUUGAAACACGGACCAAGGAGUCGUCUUCGUAUGCGAGUGUUCGGGUGUCAAACCCCUACGCGUAAUGAAAGUGAACGCAGGUGAGAGCUUCGGCGCAUCAUCGACCGAUCCUGAUGUUCUCGGAUGGAUUUGAGUAAGAGCAUACGGGGCCGGACCCGAAAGAAGGUGAACUAUGCCUGUAUAGGGUGAAGCCAGAGGAAACUCUGGUGGAGGCUCGCAGCGGUUCUGACGUGCGAAUCGAUCGUCAAAUAUGGGCAUGGGGGCGAAAGACUAAUCGAACCUUCUAGUAGCUGGUUUCCGCCGAAGUUUCCCUCAGGAUAGCAGUGUUGAA